rnacentral:rRNA from 1 species
UACGGGGGGAGCAAGCGUUGUUCGGAUUUACUGGGCGUAAAGGGCGCGUAGGCGGUCGUGACAAGUCACUUGUGAAAUCUCCGGGCUUAACUCGGAACGGUCAAGUGAUACUGUCGGACUAGAGUACAGAAGGGGCAACUGGAAUUCUCGGUGUAGCGGUGAAAUGCGUAGAUAUCGAGAGGAACACCGGUGGCGAAGGCGGCUUCCUGGACCGACACUGACGCUGAGGCGCGAAAGCUAGGGGAGCAAACGGG